rnacentral:rRNA from 1 species
CAGUAGCCGCGGUAAAACGAACCGUGCGAACGUUAUUCGGAAUUACUGGGCUUAAAGCGCGUGUAGGCGGCUCGGCACGUCGGACGUUGAAAGCCCCCGGCUCAACCGGGGAAGUGGCGCCGAUACGGCCGAGCUGGAGGGAGGUAGGGGGGUCUGGAACUUCCGGUGAGCGGUGAAAUGCGUUGAGAUCGGAAGGAACGCCCGUGGCGAAAGCGAGGCCCUGGACCUUUUCUGACGCUGAGACGCGAAAGCCAGGGGAGCGAACGGGAUUAGAUACCCCGGUAGUCCCUGUCUCUUAUAC